rnacentral:rRNA from 1 species
AUACGGAGGAUGCGAGCGUUAUCCGGAUUUAUUGGGUUUAAAGGGAGCGUAGGCGGGAGCUUAAGUCAGCGGUUAAAUGGUGCGGCUCAACCGUGCCCUGCCGUUGAAACUGGGUUUCUUGAGAGUGCAAGGGGCGGAUGGAAUUCAUGGUGUAGCGGUGAAAUGCUUAGAUAUCAUGAAGAACUCCGAUUGCGAAGGCAGUCCGCUGGGGCACGUCUGACGCUGAUGCUCGAAGGUGCGGGAAUCAAACAGGAUUAGAUACCCUGGUAGUCCGCACGGUAAACGAUGAUUACCCGCUGUCGGCGGUAGACAGUCGGCGGCCAAGCGAAAGCGAUAAGUAAUCCACCUGGGGAGUACGCCGGCAACGGUGAAACUCAAAUGAAUUGACGGGG